rnacentral:rRNA from 1 species
UACGGAGGGUGCAAGCGUUAAUCGGAAUUACUGGGCGUAAAGCGUGCGUAGGCGGUUCGUUAAGUCUGUUGUGAAAGCCCCGGGCUCAACCUGGGAAUGGCAAUGGAUACUGGCGAGCUAGAGUGUGUCAGAGGAUGGUGGAAUUCCCGGUGUAGCGGUGAAAUGCGUAGAGAUCGGGGAGGAACAUCAGUGGCGAAGGCGGCC